GUGCUCACUUCGGCAGCACAUAUACUAAAAUUGGAACAGUAACAAAGAAGAAUAGCAUGGCCCUUUUACAAGGAUGACAUGCAAAUUCGUGAAGUGUUCCAUAUUUUU